UGGGGGAUAUUGCACAAUGGGCGAAAGCCUGAUGCAGCGACGCCGCGUGGGGGAUGAAGGCUUUCGGGUUGUAAACCUCUUUCGCUAUCGAACAAGGCCCGCUUAGGGUGGGGUGAGGGUAGGUGGAGAAGAAGCGCCGGCUAACUACGUGCCAGCAGCCGCGGUAAUACGUAGGGCGCGAGCGUUGUCCGGAAUUAUUGGGCGUAAAGGGCUUGUAGGCGGCUUGUUGCGCCUGCUGUGAAAGCGCGGGGCUUAACUUCGCGCGUGCAGUGGGUACGGGCAGGCUUGAGUGUGGUAGGGGUGACUGGAAUUCCAGGUGUAGCGGUGGAAUGCGCAGAUAUCUGGAGGAACACCGAUGGCGAAGGCAGGUCACUGGGCCAUUACUGACGCUGAGGAGCGAAAGCAUGGGUAGCGAACAGG
rnacentral:rRNA from 1 species